GCGUGUGCUGCAGAGAGAGAGAGAGAGGUCAGAGACCCGUCAGAUAAACAGAGUGGAUGUAGUUGUAGAUCUCGCAUUACAGUGUGGUCACAUAGGCCGAGAUAAAUGUUCCCUCUCCCCACUGCCUUUCGGCGGCUGGCAGCAGCAAACCGAUCAGACGAGCCCGAGAUGAU